CCUACGGGGUGCAGCAGUGGGGAAUAUUGGACAAUGGGCGAAAGCCUGAUCCAGCCAUGCCGCGUGUGUGAAGAAGGCCUUCGGGUUGUAAAGCACUUUCAGUGGGGAAGAAAGCCUUGGGGCUAAUACCCACGAGGAAGGACAUCACCCACAGAAGAAGCACCGGCUAACUCCGUGCCAGCAGCCGCGGUAAUACGGAGGGUGCGAGCGUUAAUCGGAAUUACUGGGCGUAAAGCGCGCGUAGGCGGUCUGAUAAGCCGGUUGUGAAAGCCCCGGGCUCAACCUGGGAACGGCAUCCGGAACUGUCAGGCUAGAGUGCAGGAGAGGAAGGUAGAAUUCCCGGUGUAGCGGUGAAAUGCGUAGAUAUCGGGAGGAAUACCAGUGGCGAAGGCGGCCUUCUGGACUGACACUGACGCUGAGGUGCGAAAGCGUGGGUAGCAAACAGGAUUAGAUACCCCGGUAGUC
rnacentral:rRNA from 1 species